UACGUAGGGGGCUAGCGUUGUCCGGAAUCAUUGGGCGUAAAGCGCGCGUAGGCGGCCCAGUAAGUCCGUUGUAAAAGUCAAAGGCUCAACCUUUGAAAGCCGAUGGAUACUGCUGGGCUAGAGUCCGGAAGAGGCGAGUGGAAUUCCUGGUGUAGCGGUGGAAUGCGCAGAUAUCAGGAGGAACACCGAUAGUGAAGGCAGCUCGCUGGGACGGUACUGACGCUGAGGAGCGAAAGCUAGGGGAGCAAACGGG
rnacentral:rRNA from 1 species